CACGUAGGGUGCGAGCGUUGUCCGGAAUUAUUGGGCGUAAAGAGCUCGUAGGCGGUGUGUCGCGUCGGCCGUGAAAACUUGCAGCUUAACUGUGGGCGUGCGGUCGAUACGGGCAUCACUGGAGUUCGGCAGGGGAGACUGGAAUUCCUGGUGUAGCGGUGAAAUGCGCAGAUAUCAGGAGGAACACCGGUGGCGAAGGCGGGUCUC
rnacentral:rRNA from 1 species